GAUGAACGCUGGCGGCGUGCCUAAUACAUGCAAGUCGAACGCUUCACUUCGGUGAAGAGUGGCGAACGGGUGAGUAAUACAUAAGUAACCUGGCAUCUACAGGGGGAUAACUGAUGGAAACGUCAGCUAAGACCGCAUAGGUGUAGAGAUCGCAUGAACUCUAUAUGAAAAGUGCUACGGGACUGGUAGAUGAUGGACUUAUGGCGCAUUAGCUUGUUGGUAGGGUAACGGCCUACCAAGGCGACGAUGCGUAGCCGACCUGAGAGGGUGACCGGCCACACUGGGACUGAGACACGGCCCAGACUCCUACGGGAGGCAGCAGUAGGGAAUUUUCGGCAAUGGGGGAAACCCUGACCGAGCAACGCCGCGUGAAGGAAGAAGUAAUUCGUUAUGUAAACUUCUGUCAUAGAGGAAGAACGGUGGAUAUAGGGAAUGAUAUCC
rnacentral:rRNA from 1 species